UGAAAUUCCAUCACUAAUGAACAGCGUGUUCCAUUAAAUGAAGGCUUCAGAAAGCUGCGAGAUUGGCAAAACCCAGUUUUCCUUUGGCCAUUUGUGCGUGUUUGGAGGUACCUGCUGGGGCAUGAGGUGAAGUUGAGCUCAGCCUUGUGCAGCUCCCCAGGGAGGCUCCUCGUGCGUCCCACGGCUGCCCCAAGACUCCUCUCCAGACCCUUCUGCUGAGGAGAAGCCAACUGGAGGAACUGUGAAGGCUGAAGUCUGUUGUCAAUGGGACUGUACAGAGGGAAAACUCAGACCUUCUGCUUUCCAGGGAUCCCUCUGCAGACUGUGCUGUCAAACUCUCCUUCCGGAGCUGCUGUGUUCACCUAGAAGCUGCCAGACCUUUGGAAAACAAGAGACCUUGCCAAGGAGACUUGGUGUGCAUUUCUGCCUGCCUCAUUGACUCCUUUGUGUAAAGGACCAGGAAUACGGAUCCCAGGGAGCUGUAUGAACAAAUGCUCUGGUUCAGUGGUGGUGUGCCC